AGUCGAGUGAGCAUCUGCGACACGGCAACAACUGCUGUGCACUAUUUGUCACUAAAUCGCAAUCAUGAUAAAAUGUGGCGUCGUCCUGCUGUUGGUUGUUGUCCUCAAAUCCUCAAAUACUACACCACCGAGGCUUCAAAGUAUUACACUACAAUUUAUGCUGCCCCGAGCUGCAUCACCAAAGAGCCCGGACCCACCCCCAGCAACGGUAACCUGCAGAAGGAAAAGGCCAGUUUGCAUGUCCUUGACGUUCGAAGGGAGAUCAUUACGUAAAACGUGUCAUGCGGUGGUUAAGAGGUUGGGUGAGAACGGGAAGCGUUUGCUUCAUUAUCAAGCAGGUAUAAUAGCCGCAAGGCUCAAGAGGUGAGGGUGAGGAAAAAUCGUAUAAAAAGAAGAGAGAAAAGGCUAUGGGAACUCAGUCGAGUGAGAAUCUCCGACACGGCAACAACUGCAGCUCAUUAUUUGUCACCAACUGCCUUCUUCAUUGUUAUACCGUUUUGCAAUCACGGGUAUCAACAACUAUGGCGCCGUGCUGCUGUUUGGUGUUGUAUGGUUAAUGGUUGGGUCGACCACGGGUGAACCGAUGUCUCCUGGACUUGGUGGAUACCAAGCAACAGCAGCGAAAGAAUAGUGCACCACGUCGCCGCCUUACUACACAACAACGUCUAGAUACGCAACAUCUACUUGCUGCGCCGAGGCUCCUAAGUACUACACCACCGAGUAUACUGUCCCAGCCUACUACACCGAAGUCCCCUAGUACUACACGACUACGAAUGCUGCCCCAUCUUACUACACCGAGGCUCCAUCUUAUUUCAAUACCAAAGCGGUCGAGUACUACACCGAACCGCACGAGUACUACUCUGCCCCGAACUACACAACCACAACUGAGGCGGCCAAGUACUACUUAGCCCAGACUUGCUGUUCCUUCCCUCUACGUUUAACUGUAAUACUACACCGAGGAUCCAGUCUUCUACACCAUAACCUACGCUACAUCCAGAUACUACGACGAAGCCCCCAACUACUACUACACCGAAAUGUUUACUUCAUUAAGUAUAACUCUGCUCCAAGCUACACCAAGGCCACCGAGUAAUACACUACAACCAAAUGUCAACUAUGGCGUCGUGCUGCUGUUGGCUGUUGUAUCCUUGACGGUUAAGUCGACCACUGGUGUACCGAUGUCUCGGGGGAAUGUGGAUACCAAACCGCGACGCCGCCGUCUUAUAACACAACAGCAAACGCAACAACCGGUUACUUCACCACCAAUUCCCUGGAGUAUAAUCCACAACUGAUGUCCCGAACUACUACACCGAGGCCCCAAAGUAUAACUCCGCCCCGAGUUACACCACCAAGGAACCGUUGUUACUACACCACCAAGGCACCGGAGUAACUACACCACCAAGGCACCGGAGUAACUACACCACCAAGGCACCGGAGUAACUACACCACCAAGGCACCGGAGUAACUACACCACCAAGGCACCGGAGUUACUACACCACCAAGGCACCGGAGUUACUACACCACCAAGGCACCGGAGUUACUACACCACCAAGGCACCGGAGUUACUACACCACCAAGGCACCGGAGUUACUACACCACCAAGGCACCGGAGUUACUACACCACCAAGGCACCGGAGUUACUACACCACCAAGGCACCGGAGUUACUACACCACCAAGGCACCGGAGUUACUACACCACCAAGGCACCGGAGUUACUACACCACCAAGGCACCGGAGUUACUACACCACCACGUAUGCUGCCCAAGCCUUUUACACCGAGGCCUAAGUACUACUCCGUUCCCAGCUACUUCACCAAGGCUACAGCUUAUUACGCCACCAAAGCGGGCAAAUACUACACCGAAGCGUCCUAGGACUACUCUGCACCGAAUUACUACACAGCGGCUGCUCCCUCGUACUACGUUGGAUCGAAAUACUAGACUGAGGUUCCAGUUUACUACACUACAACCCACGCUGCCUUCAGCUAACAUACCGAGGCUUCGCUCCCAUACCGAUGCUCCUAAGUACUAUACAAUUAAGGCACCCGAGUAUUACAUCACUACUUAGGCUGCUCCCACCUACUGCAUCGAAGCUGCGAAGUAUUCCACUGCCCUGAGUUACUACACCAUUAAGGCACCUGAAUGUUACAUCACAACCUUCGCUUCUCCAGUUUACUACAGGGAGGAUCUUAAAUACUAUAGCCAAAAUUUCUGACUUAUCUAAUUGUGUUCAAAUUUGUCGGUCACAUCUUAAUAGUUACUAAUCACUUGGAAUCGUUGAGCUUAAAUGAGAAAAUAAAUUUUUUUAUGGUAA
rnacentral:lncRNA from 1 species